CGGACCAGUGGCCAGGACCCAGGCAGUGUGAGUGCCACUGAAAAUCAGCUUGCGUGCCACGUUCGACACCCGUGCCAUAGGUUGCCUACCCCUGGGUUAAGCUUUGAUAAGGAUAGAGGGUGAAAUCUUGGCCUCAAUGAAGUCAAUGGGAGUUUUGCCAUUAUUUAGCAGGACCAGGAUUUCGUGAACUUGAACAUUUGAAAAAGGUCUUUGUGGUUUAUUCCUCCUCCUCCUCUUUUAAUUAUUUAUUAUUUGUAUUGUGGGAGUGACCAAAGGCCCCUAUUGAGACCACUGAGCUCUGCACUAGAUGUACAGGUAGACACUGUCCCUGUCCCAAACAGCUUCCAGUCAGGCACUUACAAUAUUGUCCUCACACAUUGUGCUUAGUCAGUAAGGUCUGAAACUGCUGAGCCAAAUCCUGUCCUCAAGUAAACUUCUGGAACCCUGUUUCCACACUGGCUCAUCUUUGGCGGGGAUAUCAGGUUGGAGCAGGGAAGUGAUAUUACCUCUGUAUACAAUAUUGAUGAGAUCACAAGUGGAAUACUGUGUCCUUUUCUGAUAUUCAUACUUUUAAAAAGUAUGUUGGAAAUUAGAGAGCGUUCAGCAAAGAACCACAGGAAUGAUUCAGGUCUAGAAAACUUGCUUUACAAUGUCAGACUAAGAAUUUCAAGCUAUAUAUUUUAUAGAGAAGAUUGAGAUGACUUGACCACUGUGUGUUAGUAUAAGAAGAAGAUAUCUGAAGCUGGGGGGGUUUAAUCUAGCAGAACUUGAUCUAGUGGCUGGAAGUUGAUGCUGGACAGAUUUCAACUGCAAAUAAAGGGACUAUUUUGACAGUGACAAUAAUCAACUACUCAAACAAUUAGAAGAGGUGUGGUGGACUCUACAUUACUUAAAGUCUUUAAAUCAAGACUGGAUGUUAUUCUAAGAGAUGCCUCCAUUCAGUCACAGUCUAUUAAGAUUGAUGCAAAAAUUUCUUGGCAGUAUUCUACAGCCUCUGCAGUUGCAGAAGGUUAGAAUAGAUAAUCAUAUUGUCUUUUCUGGUCUUUAGAUCUAUGAAACUGUGGAAGGUGUAACUAAAAGCAGAAUUUUUCCAGUUUCUUUAUUACAUGUGAUGAUGCCUGAGCCGGCAAAAUCCCAGCUUCAGUUACUGAAGCUGUGUUCGGGAGUCAGGUAUUUAGAAAAAACACUUUGUUGCUUGUAGACAGAUCUGGAGUCCAUAAAAAUAAACAUGAUACCCCAAUGCCAUUUUUACAGAGUACUGCACUGUAAAGUUGCAAGCAAGUUUUGCAAGAUUAAAUUUGAAAGAAAAUCAUAUUUUCUGUGUCUGUUUCCCCUCAAGUUCUCAGUUAGUUACUUUCAUCAUUGUGUUGUGUUCUGUCUUAAUCUAUUCUACUAUUUUGUCCAGAUUGUCUAACUUGUCAGAGUGAGUCUGGAUAGCAUUAGUCAUGCCCAACUGUAGGUGAUUUAGGGGCUGUUUCACCAUUUCAUUAGUCCAGUGUGGAGUUACGCAGGCAUAAAACUGCAGUAAUGUAGGGCUAAAUCAAGUCCUCAGUGUUUAGCCUAAGUAAGGGAGCAUGGAUCAGCGUUCAUCUCAUGCUCCCCAUUAGUGCCCAGGCUGGGGAAGCUAAUGAUCUAACCGGUGCACCAAAUUCAGUGAUGAAUCCUGGUCACAUGCCGCCUGAAGUAUGUUGUGCGCACACCAAGAAGACGACCCUAAGUUCUUCUGCUCUGGGUCUGUAAUGCAUAUCCUACAGGUUGAGAUGAACCAGAGCUGGGCCUGCAAUGGCAGCAGGAUUGGCAACAUACUGCUUGGAGGGAAGAUAGUAUGUGUGUGGCCCAAAACAACAUCCCAAUAAUAGGUGUUGCCAUUGACUCCAGAGGGGCCAGUAUUUGAUCCCUGGACUUUAUUGUGGGCUUCCUUUGUUUCCACUUGGAUUCCUUGUAUGCUGCUUGCUGAACUCUUUUAUUCUUAAGCAUUUGGUUUGCCAGUUGAUACUAAUUUGCAAGGAAAAGAAAAUAUAAAUUGUAUUGAUGACAACAUCAAGACCAAGGCUAUUCUGGAAGACCUGACAACAUCUGGAAGACUGCCGGUGUUCUGCCAGCUACCAAAUCAAACAUUCUCCCCUCCCAACCUUUACACUGAAUUAUGUCAUGUAACUAGUGUAAAAAAUCAACCAAAUCUAUUUUAAUGCUGCAGUUAGCAAAAACACUACACUGGUGGAUUAAAUUUCUUAGGGAAACCACCACACAGACAUUUGCUUGUACAACAUCCAUGUUCAACUCCACAUUUAAGGACAAAAAAUUCAAAGGACUGUGCCUGACUGUCUCAUAAACUCUGCCACUUAGAGAACACAGCAUUUAAAAACCAUUCACCCCCAGCAAAAUGUGCAUAAGCAGUAAAGUAAUUGAAAUGAGUGUACGGUACAGUAAAAGAUAUCAAAGUAGGGCAAUGGUUAACAGAGUGACUUCAACAACUAAAGAUGGGGUUCUGUAAAGUUUGAAAUUCAACACUGAGACCAAAUGUGAUGCUAAUCCUGUCUGAAAGAUGGGUUACAAAAGUCUAAAAGAGCUGAAUUUCAGAAUGAAGUUGAUGUCGCUGUAUAGUGAUACAGGUGGAAAUCUAGAGUUACUGGUAUUUAUUUAUUUAUUAAUGACACUCUUCAUUUGCUUUCCCUCCACUACAGUUAGAAUGAAAUCAUCAUGGAGGAGUGUUUCAUAUAAAGAGAUAUUUUAGUUAAAUAAAUUACUCUACAAUACCUGAA